AACAAACCCCUCAAAAGCCCUGUCCUCAUGGAGCUUACGUUCUAGUGGGGAAGGUGGGUGAUAAGAAAAUAAAUAUUGAUGAUAAGCUUGAGGGGAGGAGGGCUGGAGAGGGACAGAGCUACCAUUUUAGGUGGAGGAGUCAAAUAAGACAUCUUUGAGAAAGUGUCGAUGGAAGAGGACCUGACACAAAGGGAGGAAGCCAGCUGUGUGUAUAUUUUGGGAAGAAGGACAUUCCAAGUAGAAAAAACAGCGAGUUCAAAGGCCCUGAGGUCAGCUUGGUGUGUUGGAGGAGUGAACUGGGCCGGAGUGAGCAGCUGGGAGGGGUGGAGCCGAGGGCCAGGCACGCAGGGCUGGCUGGGCCGCCAGAGGACUUGCAGUGGCUUCUCAGUGAAAGGACAGGCAGUCGGAGCCUUCUGAACUCCACAGUGCUGCGGUCUCGCGUCGCCAGCUGCUGUGUGGGCUCCAGGCUGGAGCGGGACUCCAGUGUGGAGGCUGCCACACUAGUGCAGCUGAGGGACGGUGGCGGCCUGGCCGCAGUGGCCGCGGUGGAGGUCCCCCCACAGCGGCCGGGGAGCCACUCAUUACUCCUCGCUCUCGAGGGACACAGCGAUGACUGAGACAGCCUCCACGCCACCCUCAGAGCACAGCCCGAGCGGAGACCCUCGCCAGACAGGCUGUGGGGCCCAGAGGGAGCGCCUGGCACGAUUCAAGGAUCCAAUCCAGGAUGCCACGCUGCGUUUAUUCGUCCCGUCUCCUUGGUCUCCUCCAACCUGUGACAGUUCCCCGGUCUCUCCUUGUUUCUCAUGCCCGUGACAGUUUGAGGAGUACCGGUCAGGUGUUUUCUAGAAUGUCCCUCAGUCUGAUCUGUCUGACGUUUUCCUCGCGGUUAGAUCGGGAUCAUAGGUGUGAGGAGGAGGACCCCUCAGCUGGUGUUGACCUGGCUCCCUUCAUUCCGGUGGCGUCUGCCGGGUUCCUCGGCUGGAGCAUCGCUGUUUUUCCCUCUCUUUACUCUGUCACGAAAUCCAGCCCACACUCGGAGGGAGGAGAAUUAAGCUCCAGCUCCUGGAGGGAAAAAUAUCAAAGAAUUUGUCUGCAUGUGUUAAGACCACCACAGUAACUAAUAAACACGGGAAGAUACGUGGCAGCCGUGCAAAGGCCCUGCUGUCCUCAGUUCCACGGCUCGUUUUAGCGUUCGUCCACGGCAGUUACUACUGUGGUGUUCCAGUGGCGAUUUCCUAUUUCCUUCAUUUCUUCUGCAGUUAUUAUUUGGGAUUCUUCUGUAGGAAGAUUUGUCCCCACUACCCUGUUUAUUUUCUUUGUACAGUCGUUAAUUUAUAUCAGUCUGGACUCACGGAUGUUUUUUUUAUUCUUUGGGUGUAACCCAAGAAUAUCGCAAUUAAUUUUUUCAGUCAGAUUGUUCCAGUUUGGGCCAUGGGGCUCUUUCAGGUUUCCUCCUGUGUUUUUUUUUUUUCCCUCCCUUGAGCACCUCCUUACCUCCUGGCGCUGUGAGAUGCUCCAGGCUUGUCUUGUGUUUUCCCUGCUCCGGCCCUGGGAUCGCCAUUUCUCCAGGGGGCCCUGGUUCCUUCUGUUGGAGGUGGACUUAGACACCCAGGUCUGGGCACUGAGCGUGGUCAUUGCUGCUGGGCUGUCACUGUUUCUAGUCCCCGUCAGCUGACAGAGCUGGGAAGUACAUGUCUGUGUACAAACCCAGUAUACCCAUGUCUAUACUCUGUAUGUGGAUAGAUACAGACAUCUGUGCAUGAAGAGAAACGUGAGUCUGUACUGAUAGCUCUGACCAGCUCGAGGGUUGGUCCUCACCUCUCCCUGGCUUACUUAGUGACUUCCUUCUCCGACCGUGAGAAGCCUGGCUCUGUGGUCACUCUUCGUGUCUGUCUUGUGGGCCCCCUUGGCAGACGCUAGCAGCGCUGGCCGUUCCCGCCUUCUAUAAGGACAGUCUCCCCUCCGUUUCUGUGAUGAUGCUGGCCCCUGAGCUUUCUCCUCUGUCUUGCUUCUUUGCAGGAAGUUCCUGUUUUCACGGAUCCCUUAAAUGUGGGGGCUCUUCUGUCCUCCCCCCUGGGCCAUCUUACACUCUUUUAUGGUCUCUUUCCUGUCUCUGUGCUGAUGGCGCCCACUCUCUGCCCUCAGUUCUGACCUGCUCCCUGAGCCCCAGACCUGGGGGUCCUGAGGCCUCACGAAGCCCCCUCCUGCCCUCAGCCCUGGAUGAUCCCUGUGCCCCGAAC
rnacentral:lncRNA from 1 species